AGAGUUUGAUCCUGGCUCAGAUUGAACGCUGGCGGCAUGCUUUACACAUGCAAGUCGAACGGCAGCACGGGGCAACCUGGUGGCGAGUGGCGAACGGGUGAGCAAUAUAUCGGAACAUGUCCGGAAGUGGGGGAUAACGUAGCGAAAGUUACGCUAAUACCGCAUAUGCCCUGAGGGGGAAAGGAGGGGAUCGCAAGACCUUUCGCUUUCGGAGUGGCCGAUAUCAGAUUAGCUAGUUGGUGGGGUAAAGGCCUACCAAGGCAACGAUCUGUAGCUGGUCUGAGAGGACGACCAGCCACACUGGGACUGAGACACGGCCCAGACUCCUACGGGAGGCAGCAGUGGGGAAUUUUGGACAAUGGGGGAAACCCUGAUCCAGCCAUGCCGCGUGAGUGAAGAAGGCCUUCGGGUUGUAAAGCUCUUUCAGCCGGAAAGAAAUCGUGCAACCUAAUACGUUGUAUGGAUGACGGUACCGGAAGAAGAAGCACCGGCUAACUACGUGCCAGCAGCCGCGGUAAUACGUAGGGUGCGAGCGUUAAUCGGAAUUACUGGGCGUAAAGCGUGCGCAGGCGGUUUUGUAAGACAGAUGUGAAAUCCCCGGGCUUAACCUGGGAACUGCAUUUGUGACUGCAAGGCUAGAGUACGGCAGAGGGGGGUAGAAUUCCACGUGUAGCAGUGAAAUGCGUAGAUAUGUGGAGGAAUACCGAUGGCGAAGGCAGCCCCCUGGGUCGAUACUGACGCUCAUGCACGAAAGCGUGGGAGCAAACAGGAUUAGAUACCCUGGUAGUCCACGCCCUAAA
rnacentral:rRNA from 1 species